rnacentral:ncRNA from 1 species
UUAAAGUUUGAUUCUAGCUUGUUAAGUUUGCCUUUUUUUAAUUGUACAUGUAAAUUUUUGUGUGAUAGUCUUUUUCUAAAUGAGUUUUAGUUUUAGUCGCAGUUUUUUAUUUUAUUUUUUAUAUAAGUAUAGAUAUAGUUUAUUUAAAGAGCUCUGACUAAUAUUGUGCCAGCAGUCGCGGUUAUACAAUUAGAGCUAGUGAGUUUUUUUGGUUUUGUAUUUAAUUUGUAUUUUUUAUUUACUUUUGGAAUUUUGGGGUGAAAUCGAGAUUCUAAUUUGGAUAAUUUUGAAUGAUUAAAUAUGAAAGUUUAGGAUGAGACUGGGAUUAGAGACCCCAUUAUUAUGAACUGUUAAUUUUUGACCUUGGUAUUAAUAGGUAUGAUCUUUAAAUUAAAAGAGUUUGGCGGUAAUUUAGUCUGUUCAGAGGAAUCUGCCCUAUAAUUGAUGAUCCACGAUGAAUUUCACUUUAUUUAGGCUUGUAUAUCUCUGUCAUUGAAUGUCUUAUUAGGGUAAUUUUCGUUAAUCAUUCAUGUGGAUAAUGUCAGGUCAAGGUGCAGCAAUAAUAAAGAAGAGGUGGAUUACAUUAAAUUUAUUUAUGGAGGGACAUAUGAAAAUUAGUCUUGAAAUUGGAUUUGAGAGUAACUUCUGUUAGAAUACAGAAUUGAUUUAGCUCUAAAUUAUGUACAUAUCGCCCGUCACUCUCGUUUUUAAAAUGAGAUAAGUCGUAACAAAGUAGGCUUACUGGAAGGUGGGCCUGGAUAUAU